rnacentral:tRNA from 1 species
UGCUUGGGUAGCUCAGUCGGUAGAGCGCUUGCCCGGGAAAGGCAAAGGUCCCGAGUUCGAGUCUCGGUCCGGCAC